rnacentral:rRNA from 1 species
UAAAGUUACUAAGGGCGUACGGGGGAUGCCUAGGUACAUGGAGUCGAUGAAGGACGUGGUAAGCUGCGAUAAGCCUCGGGUAAGUGCAAACUACUUUAAAUCCGGGGAUUUCCGAAUGGGGCAACCCGGCUCGGGUUAUACCGAGUCACUCCCAUCUGAAUACAUAGGAUGGGUAGAGGUAACGGAGUGAACUGACACAUCUAAGUAACUCCAGGAAUAGAAAUCAAAAGAGAUUCCCUAAGUAGCGGCGAGCGAACGGGGAAAAGCCUAAACCAUUAACGUGCCAAACCUGUAAGUAUUGCGCUAGUGGUGUUGUGGGAUCAUUUUAGAACCGGUUACAGACGGUUCGACAAGUCAAAAAGUCAUUGAUUAAUAGAAUGGAAUGGAAAGUCCAGCCAUAGAAGGUGAUAGCCCUGUAUAUGAAAAUCAUAGAUCUUGUUGAAAAUGACACCCGAGUAACGCGGGACACGAGAAAUCUUGCGUGAAUCUGCCAGGACCAUCUGGUAAGGCUAAAUACUUCCAUGUAACCGAUAGCGAACUAGUACCGUGAGGGAAAGGUGAAAAGUACUCCUAACGGAGAGUGAAAUAGAACCUGAAACCGUAUGCCUACAAGCAGUCGGAGUUCCGAUUUAUCGGGAUGACGGCGUGCCUUUUGCAUAAUGAGCCAGCGAGUUGCUCGUAUGUUGCAAGGUUAAUCCCUUUAUGGGAGGAGCCGAAGCGAAAGCGAGUCUGAAUAGGGCGAUUCAGUAACAUGCGGCAGACCCGAAGCCGAGUGAUCUAUCCAUGGCCAGGUUGAAGCGACAGUAACAUGUUGUGGAGGACCGAACCCACAAGGGUUGAAAACCUUGGGGAUGAGCUGUGGAUAGGGGUGAAAGACCAAUCAAACUCGGCGAUUUCUGGUUCUCCCCGAAAUGCCUUUAGGGGCAGCGUCGUGGAAGUGCCUCGGGGGUAGAGCACUGGAUGGACUAGGGGCCCUACAAGGUUACCAAACCCAACCAAACUCCGAAUACCGAGGUUACGAUCCCCGGCAGUGAGGCCACGGGGGAUAAGCUUCGUGGCCGAGAGGGAAACAACCCAGACCAACAGCUAAGGUCCCAAAAUCUGAGUUAAGUGACUAAGGAUGUAAGAUUGCACAGACAGCUAGGAGGUUGGCUUAGAAGCAGCCAUCCUUUAAAGAAAGCGUAAUAGCUCACUAGUUAAGGAAUCUUGCGCCGAUAAUCUCCGGGACUGUUAAACUCAGUACCGAAGCUCUGGUCCCGGCACAUUUGUGUCGGGAGGUAGGGGAGCGUUCCAUCUACCUGUGAAGUCCUAGACGGGAGUCGGGAUGGAGGAAAUGGAAGUGAGUAUGCUGGCAUGAGUAGCGAUAAUUCCAGUGAAAUUCUGGGACACCAAAAGCCUAAGGUUUCCUGAGUAAAGUAACUCUGCUCAGGGUUAGUCGGUCCCUAAGCCGAGGCCGAAAGGCGUAGGCGAUGGAUAACAGGUGAAUAUUCCUGUACCACCCAAUCAUCGUUUGAACGAUGGGGGGACGCAGAAGUGAAAGAUCAGCCCGGUUUUGAUUGUCCGGGUUUAAGUGUGUAGGGAGUUCUGGCAGGCAAAUCCACCGGAACCAUCCUGAGACACGAAUAGGAGGGCCUAGCCCACAAACUGAUCCUAAUCAUGCUGCCUAGAAAAUCCUCUAAGUGAGAUUUUUGGGUGACCGUACCGUAAACGGACACACGUAGGCGAGAAGAGUAUUCUAAGGUGCUUGGGUUAAUCGUGGUAAAGGAACUCGGCAAAUUGGCCCCGUAACUUCGGGAGAAGGGGCGCCUCAAGUAGGUAAAGGCCUUCGCGGCUGGAGCCCAAAGAGGUCGCAGAAACCAGGGUUGAGCGACUGUUUACCAAAAACACAGGUCUCUGCUAAGUCGCAAGACGAAAUAUAGGGACUGACACCUGCCCGGUGCCGGAAGGUUAAGUAGAGGGGUUAUCUCGAUUCGUCGAGAGAAGCUCUGAAAUGAAGCCCCGGUGAACGGCGGCCGUAACUAUAACGGUCCUAAGGUAGCGAAAUUCCUUGUCGGGUAAGUUCCGACCCGCACGAAUGGCGUAACGACUUCCCCACUGUCUCCAACAUCGACUCAGCGAAAUUGAAUUCUCCGUGAAGAUGCGGAGUACCCGCGGUCAGACGGAAAGACCCCGUGCACCUUUACUACAGCUUUGCAGUGGUAUCAGGAAUUCUAUGUGUAGGAUAGGUGGGAGGCUUUGAAGCGUGGGCGCCAGUUCACGUGGAGCUAACCUUGAAAUACCACCCUUAUGAUUUUUGCUAUCUAACCGCGGUCCGUUAUCCGGAUUCGGGACCCUGCAUGGCGGGUAGUUUGACUGGGGCGGUCGCCUCCCAAAGAGUAACGGAGGCGUGCAACGGUAGGCUCAGGUUGGUCGGAAAUCAACCGCUGAGUGCAAUGGCAUAAGCCUGCCUGACUGUGAGUCCGACGGGACGAGCAGAGAC